GAAAAGCAUAUUUUUUUGCAAGAGCAAUUAAAUACUUGGGUGCGUGGUAACAAUGAAUAUACCGCCAAAGGUGUGUAUAUUUUUGGACACCAACCACCUAGUAUUGAUGCAAGCGGUAAUGAGCAUGAAGAGGAGUAUGAUACAUAUACAUAUAUUGAUACUACUUCUUUGGUUUCCUCUACACAUAAUGAUGGGUUGCCGC
rnacentral:lncRNA from 1 species